AUUGAACGCUGGCGGCAUGCUUUACACAUGCAAGUCGAACGGCAGCACGGGCUUCGGCCUGGUGGCGAGUGGCGAACGGGUGAGUAAUAUAUCGGAACGUACCCAGAAGUGGGGGAUAACGUAGCGAAAGUUACGCUAAUACCGCAUACGAUCUAUGGAUGAAAGCAGGGGACCGCAAGGCCUUGUGCUCCUGGAGCGGCCGAUAUCUGAUUAGCUAGUUGGUGAGGUAAAGGCUCACCAAGGCGACGAUCAGUAGCUGGUCUGAGAGGACGACCAGCCACACUGGAACUGAGACACGGUCCAGACUCCUACGGGAGGCAGCAGUGGGGAAUUUUGGACGAUGGGCGCAAGCCUGAUCCAGCAAUGCCGCGUGAGUGAAGAAGGCCUUCGGGUUGUAAAGCUCUUUUGUCAGGGAAGAAACGGUAGAGGCUAAUAUCCUUUGCUAAUGACGGUACCUGAAGAAUAAGCACCGGCUAACUACGUG
rnacentral:rRNA from 1 species